AAGACCUGGUAGAAACACUGCAACACAACAAGUUAGGUAACUAGCACAGUGGGAGGUAAGACAUAAAACUUCCUUGUACACACAGUUCAACAAUCAAACACACAAAUGUCUUGUCUCACAUCCGUUAGUUCAAUUUAUUCUCGAGUGCCAAGCUGGAGCGGUCUUCUGUUGUGUUGUUCAAGUUGCCUAGAGACCAACUUCAGAGACAGAGUGAGGGGAAAGCAGCAAGCAGAAAGUAGAGGAGAGUGGUGUGUUUUUAAGCACCUAGUUCUGGUGCUCUAGAGGACAAGGGGCAGUGGAGAAGAAUGUCUACCCCAGCAAGAAUGACCCUGAGUGGGACCAGAAGGUCAGACCUGAACCCUCUGGAGAGAAUGGUCAACAGAACAACACUGACCACUCAGAGGGUCCUCCAUACACACAUUCUGGCAUUAGGAGAGAAGCUUUCCUCUGAGUUGCCUGCUUCCUCCUCCUCCACCAUGGAUGUUCUCCGCACAUCAGUUCCAGACUCUUCCACAGCAUGGCUGCCUUUGGUGGAGAUGGCACAGCCAGAUUACCCCUGGAUGGAGGAGUUUCAGCAGUGGGCUGAAGAAGAAAAAGAGAAGGCCCUAAAGCUCCAGGAGGAGUGUCUGCGAGCCCAGUUCCGGGAGGCUCUGCAGGCCAGGGAGAGGCUGGAGGCUGAGGCGAUUCAGGGUCAGCAGGCAAACCUGCAGGUCCAGCUCGAGGCUCACUGUGCUGGACUGCGGGAGCAGAUGAAGGAGGAGAAGAAGAUGGAGGUGCAAGAGGCCUGCAGGAGGCUGAAGGAGGAGAUGAAGAGGGAGGCAGAGAUGGAGAGAGAAAAGGAGAUGGGGGUCAUACAGGAACAGAUGGAGGAGCGUGUAAGGGAAGCGUGUAUCGAUGGCCGAGCGGCGUGUGAGGGAGGAGUGUGAAAAGGAGGCUCAGAGAGAGAAGCAGAACCUGCAAGACAGACAUAUGGAGGAAAUAUCACAGCUUCAGGACAAGCUGCAGCAGCUGCAGGACAGUCUGGUGCGGGUCUGCGGGGAGCGGAUGCAGUACGAGACGGAGCUUAAGAAGGUACAGGCCAGUUACAGACAGUUUAUUGAUCUGACUGACUCCUCCCUCCACUCUGAUUACCUGUUAAGGCUUCGUCGCCUGGGCAGAGAACCGGGCCUCGUGGAGACAUCCACCCAGACUGACGAUGUCAGCCACAAACCCUCCAUACCCUGAGCUCUCGAUGUCUAUCUGCAUUUCCAUGUUUUCAUGUUUCAUAUUAUCCACUUUACGGACAAAUCUGCACCAUAGGACAGUAAUAUACUGGUAGGGAUUCACAAUAAUAUCAGAAUCAUAUCAUUACUGGCAGAUACUUGCUUGAACAAAAUUAUCGGCAUCAGACAGAUUUUUAGACUUGAACGA